rnacentral:rRNA from 1 species
GUGUCAGCCGCCGCGGUAAUACGAAGGGUGCGAGCGUUAAUCGGAAUUACUGGGCGUAAAGAGCACGUAGGCGGUUUGAUAAGCGGAAUGUGAAAGCCCCGGGCUUAACCUGGGAACUGCAUUCCGAACUGUCAGGCUAGAGUAUGAUAGAGGUGAGCGGAAUUUCCUGUGUAGCGGUGAAAUGCGUAGAUAUAGGAAGGAACAUCAGUUGCGAAGGCGGCUCACUGGAUCAAUACUGACGCUGAGGUGCGAAAGCGUGGGUAGCGAACAGGAUUAGAUACCCUCGUAGUCC